rnacentral:tRNA from 1 species
UCUUAUAAGUCUAGUGGUUACGAUUCCUGGUUUUCAUCCAGGUGGCCUGGGUUUGACUCCCAGUGUGGGAA